CCAAUCCCGGCCGCGGCCGCCACAAGAUGGCGGCGCGGAGCAGAGCGGGCUGGGCUCUCCCGCCAUGUUGGGGCUCAUGGCUGCUCGCCAGGCCGGGCUGGAUGACCCCGCGCGGCUGCGCCGGGCCGAGCGCACCCGGAGGGUUCUAAGUUUGGAAUUAAAUAAAGAUAGAGAUGUGGAAAGAAUACAUGGAAGUGGUAUCAACACCCUUGAUAUUGAGCCUGUUGAGGGAAGAUACAUGUUAUCUGGUGGAUCAGAUGGUGUUAUAGUACUUUAUGACCUUGAAAACUUGAGCAGGAAACCAAGUUACACAUGUAAAGCACUUUUUUCUGUUGGAAGUUGGAAUAUUUUCCUUGAUUUUAGGAGUCAUCCUGAUGUACAUAAAUUCAGUGUGGAGACAGUCCAGUGGUAUCCUCAUGACACUGGCAUGUUUACAUCAAGCUCAUUUGACAAAACCUUGAAAAUAUGGGAUACAAAUACUUUACAACCUGCAGAUGUAUUUCACUUUGAGGGAACAGUCUAUAGUCAUCAUAUGUCUCCAGUUGCUACAAAGCAUUGUUUAAUAGCAGUUGGUACCAAAAGCCCCAAAGUACAGCUCUGUGACUUGAAGUCUGGAUCCAGUUCUCACAUUCUGCAGGGUCACAGGCAAGAAGUAUUGGCAGUGUCUUGGUCCCCACGUCAUGAAUAUAUUUUGGCAACAGGAAGUGCUGAUGGUAGAGUGAAAUUAUGGGAUGUGAGGAGAGCUUCUGGAUGUCUGAGUACACUUGAUCAGCACAAUGGGGAAAAGUCCAAAGCAUCUUCUGAGGCAGCGAACACUGCUCACAAUGGGAGAGUUAAUGGUUUAUGCUAUACAAAUGAUGGACUUCACCUGCUAACCCUUGGUACAGAUGAUCGGAUGCGUCUCUGGAACAGCUCCACUGGAGAAAACACCUUAGUGAACUAUGGGAAAGUCUGUAAUGAAAGUAGGAAAGGACUCAAAUUUGCCAUCUCUUGUGGCUGUAAUCCAGAGUUUGCCUUUGUUCCGUAUGGAAGUACCAUUGCUGUUUAUACAGUUUUCACAGGAGAACUGAUAACUAUGCUUAGAGGGCAUUAUAGUACUGUCAACUGCUGUGUAUUUCAACCUCAUUUUCAGAAAAAGAAAUCGUGCAAAUCAUCAUGCAUGAAUAACAUGUCAUAAAAUAGGAACUUUAUAGUGGUAGCAAAGACUGCAAUAUCCUUGCAUGGAUACCUGCUCCACGAGAGCCAGUUCCUGAUGAUAUUUCUGAAAAGUCUCUGCCUCAACAACAUUUAAAUCCAGCAUAUGAAGACGCAUGGAGCAGCAGUGAUGAUGAAGGCUAAAUUUAAAUUAUGAGCUGAUAUAAAUUGACAUUCAGGCACUGCAUUCACAGACUUUAUCUACAGAAUUGGACUUCGUUGGAUUUAUCACAACAGGAUUUUAGGUACAGCUCUGUUAGAGCAAGGUCUUUCAAAAAUAAGUUUCCACUGUUCUCUGUGUUUCUUUGUCACUGUAAAGUUAAAUCCAAAGGAUUACUUUUUUCAUACGUGCUGACUUUUGUACUUACACAUUGGUAAUUCAGCUGAUAAAGAAAAAAUAAAAGCCCUUGGGACCAGUCAAAAUGA